UAAAGAAGUACAGUGUGGGUUUGCAUCAACCAGGAAAAUUAUAUCUCCUCUUCAUAUACCAUCGAAAUUUCUUAUUGAAUCUUUUCAUCAGGGACCUUGGAUACCUCAAAAAUGGUGCUACAAGACAAGAUAGUCUAGGAAAGGAACUGAUUGCUGCGCUCACCUGUGACCACCCAGCUCAAGACAAUAGACUUGCCUCCUGCUACGCCCGCCAAGAUAGCAGACCCACAACCUGCUGUGUCCAUCAAGCGCUGUGCUGACAGGGCAAUCUUGUGAGUAUUGUGGGAGGGACAUUUCAAUCACAUGUGAAACACCUUGUUUGGGGGUAUAUAACCACUCUGUGCACCCCACUUCUUUGGUGCCCUUUCUUCCUUUGGGAAGAAGGGCCCCGGGCCAUGGUCCUCAUAAAGCUUUCUUUAAUUUUCUCCUGCUAUUCUGUCUCAUGUGAAUUUAAUUCAUUCUCCG
rnacentral:lncRNA from 1 species